CAGUCGCCGCGGGAAAACGAAGGGUGCAAGCGUUACUCGGAAUUACUGGGCGUAAAGCGUGUGUAGGUGGUUGUUUAAGUCUGUCGUGAAAGCCCUGGGCUCAACCUGGGAAUUGCGAUGGAUACUGGGCGACUAGAGUGCGGUAGAGGAUAGUGGAAUUUCCGGUGUAGCAGUGAAAUGCGUAGAGAUCGGAAGGAACAUCUGUGGCGAAGGCGACUAUCUGGGCCAACACUGACACUGAGACACGAAAGCGUGGGGAGCAAACAGGAUUAGAUACCCCGGUAGUCCCUGUCUCUUAUAC
rnacentral:rRNA from 1 species